rnacentral:rRNA from 1 species
UUCCGGUUGAUCCUGCCGGACCUGACUGCUAUCGGAUUGAUACUAAGCCAUGUGAGUCAUUGUAGCAAUACAAGGCAGACGGCUCAGUAACACGUAGUCAAUCUACCCUAUGGACGGGGAUAACCUCGGGAAACUGAGAAUAACACCCGAUAGAUCAUAAUGCCUGGAACGGUUUAUGGUUCAAACGAUUCGUCGCCGUAGGAUGGGACUGCGGCCUAUCAGCUUGUUGGUGAGGUAAUGGCCCACCAAGGCUAUUACAGGUACGGGCUCUGAGAGGAGAAGCCCGGAGAUGGGUACUGAGACACGGACCCAGGCCCUAUGGGGCGCAGCAGGCGAGAAACCUUUGCAAUGUGCGCAAGCACGACAAGGUUAAUCCGAGUGUUUCCUGCUAAAGGAAUCUUUUGUUAGUUGUAAAACCACUAUCGAAUAAGGGGUGGGCAAGUUCUGGUGUCAGCCGCCGCGGUAAAACCAGCACCUCAAGUGGUCAGGAGGAUUAUUGGGCCUAAAGCAUCCGUAGCCUGUUCUAUAAGUUUCCGGUUAAAUCCAUUAGCUCAACUAAUGGGCUGCCGAAAAUACUGUAGAACUAGGGAGUGGGAGAGGUAGACGGUAUUCGGUAGGAAGGGGUAAAAUCCUUUGAUCUAUCGAGGACCACCUGUGGCGAAGGCGGUNUACCAGAACACGUUCGACGGUGAGGGAUGAAAGCUGGGGGAGCAAACCGGAUUAGAUACCCGGGUAGUCCCAGCCGUAAACGAUGCAGACUCGGUGAUGCCCUGGCUUGUGGCCAGUGCAGUGCCGCAGGGAAGCCGUUAAGUUUGCCGCCUGGGAAGUACGUACGCAAGUAUGAAACUUAAAGGAAUUGGCGGGGGAGCACCACAAGGGGUGAAGCCUGCGGUUCAAUUGGAGUCAACGCCGGGA